UGGGGAAUAUUGGACAAUGGGGGCAACCCUGAUCCAGCGACGCCGCGUGGGGGAUGAAGGUCUUCGGAUUGUAAACCCCUUUCGGGAGGGAAGAUGGAACGAGCAAUCGUUCGGACGGUACCUCCAGAAGCAGCCACGGCUAACUUCGUGCCAGCAGCCGCGGUAAUACGAAGGUGGCAAGCGUUGUUCGGAUUCACUGGGCGUACAGGGAGCGUAGGCGGUUGGGUAAGCCCUCCGUGAAAUCUCCGGGCCUAACCCGGAAAGUGCAGAGGGGACUGCUCAGCUAGAGGAUGGGAGAGGAGCGCGGAAUUCCCGGUGUAGCGGUGAAAUGCGUAGAGAUCGGGAGGAAGGCCGGUGGCGAAGGCGGCGCUCUGGAACAUUUCUGACGCUGAGGCUCGAAAGCGUGGGGAGCAAA
rnacentral:rRNA from 1 species